GAUGAACGCUGGCGGCGUGCCUAAUACAUGCAAGUCGAGCGGACGGACGAGAAGCUUGCUUCUCUGAUGUUAGCGGCGGACGGGUGAGUCACGCGUGGAUACCCUACCUAUAAGACUGGGAUAACUUCGGGACACCGUCGCUUAUACCGGAUAAUAUUUUGAACCGCAUGGUUCAAAGGUGAAAUACGGUCUUGCUGUCACGUAUAGAUGGUUCCGCGCUGCAUUAGCUAGUUGGUAAGGUCACGGCUUACCAAGGCAACGAUGCGUAGCCGACGUGAGAGAGUGAUAGGCCACCCUGGAACGUGGACACGGACCAUAGGCCUACGGGAGGCAGCAGAAGGGAAUCUUACGCAGUGGGCGAAAGCCUGACGGAGCAACGGCACGUGAGAGAUGAAGGUGUUCGGAUCGUAAAGCCCUGUUAUUAGGGAUGAACAGCUGUGUACGGAACCGUGCACAGCGUGACGGUACCUAAUCAGAAAGCCACGGCUAACUACGUG
rnacentral:rRNA from 1 species